AUUGAACGCUGGCGGCAGGCCUAACACAUGCAAGUCGCGCGGUAGUACAGGGAGCUUGCUCCUGGGUGACGAGCGGCGGACGGGUGAGUAAUGUCUGGGAAACUGCCGGAUGGAGGGGGAUAACUACUGGAAACGGUAGCUAAUAACGCAUAACGUCGCAAGACCAAAGAGGGGGAACAUCUGGCCUCUCGCCAGCAGAUGUGCCCAGAUGGGAUUAGCUAGUAGGUGGGGUAACGGCUCACUCAGGCGCCGAGCCGUAGCUGGUCUGAGAGGAUGACCAGCCACACUGGAACUGAGACACGGUCCAGACUCCUACGGGAGGCAGCAGUGGGGAAUAUUGCACAAUGGGCGCAAGCCUGAUGCAGCCAUGCCGCGUGUAUGAAGAAGGCCUUCGGGUUGUAAAGUACUUUCAGCGGGGAGGAAGGCGAUAAGGUUAAUAACCUUGUCGAUUGACGUUACCCGCAGAAGAAGCACCGGCUAACUCCGUGCCAGCCGCCGCGGUAACAC
rnacentral:rRNA from 1 species